rnacentral:lncRNA from 1 species
ACACAUCUACACCAGUAAACAGCACGGGUAGAAAGGACAAAUCACUUGCAUUCCAUGGCCUUUCAAAAACCCAUUUCCAGAAGAAAUAUAUCGCCCAAGUAGCCCUGCACCAAAUGACUCACUGGAGAAUUGGAUCAAGUGUCUCGGGAAGAGAUAAUACAGGUUGCAUACAGUCCUAGAAAAUCAAAGAGAUGAAGACAGAUCCCAGAAUUCAUCCGGAAAUAAAAGUAGAUGAAGGCAUCAUGAACAAGUAAAACAAAAGAUUGAUGUCCCUGGUGAACAAGGAAUCCAAAAUUCUACUAAAAAUUUUAGGAUGGAGAAUUCAAGAGUCUACUAAAAAGACCAUGAUAAGUGGUGGAGGUCAUCUCAGGGAUGCAAAGAUGACUUGAUAGUUUAAAAAAGAAAAAAAAUGAAUCUCACUAAAUCAACAGGAUAUGGGAUUCCAUAUAAUCAACUCAGCAACCCCUGAAAAAGCAUUUGAUUUAAAAAAAAAAUCCCACUUUUGUUUAGAAGUUUUCAAAAACAAAACAAACCCCUGUUUCUUGGCAACGGUAGAGAAAGGGAAACCUUUCAAUACACAGUGCUGUGUGUGUGUGUGUGUGCUUGGUUAUGUAAGUACACCUGUCUACGCCUCAUACCAGAUAACCUAAAGUAACCCGAAUUAGAUAUGAACCUAGAUCGUAAAUUCCAAUGCAAAGUAUAAAGCAGUAUAGCUUUAGAGGAAAUCACGGGAGGAAAACUCAAUGACUGUGCAUUAGCAAAAAAUCUUCAUAGAUCUGAAAGCAACCACCUUAUUC